rnacentral:lncRNA from 1 species
CUAUGUUUCCAGUGUCCUCUGGGUGUUUCCAAGAGCAACAAGAAACGAAUAAAUCUCUGGCUGCAUAAGGGGAGUAAACACAAAGUACAUUUGACCACAAAAUGACUUUUUAAAAGUCAGAACUAUGGUAGCAUGAAGCCAAACGAGGGUUCCACAGAAGUCUCCAAUCUUUAAAUCUUCAGUGUAUGAAAGCACAGAUUCCUGAAAGAAUGGCCUCAAAUGACCAGGAGUAGGAGCUCUCUAUAUCCCUGCUCCUGAAAAACAAGCUAACUGGAGUCUCCAUCACCUGCCACCAGCUAUACACACUACCAACUACCCAACUGAACUCCAUGACUGAUUUUCCAGCUAAUCAUGCCCCUGACCCAGCCCACAUGGACAUGGGAAGGACAUCAGUGAACUGUGAAAAGAGGCAGAGACUCACUUCCGUUUGUAUUAUUAAAACACACGCCAAUAGGACAUAGAAAGAAGCAAGAGUACUGGGCUUUACCAUGAGUUCAAAUCUCAUUUCUGCCAAUUCCUAUGUCUAAAAAAAAGCUUCGUAAUCUCUUUGAGCCUCACAUUCUCUAUCUAGAGAAUCACUUGACCAGAAUGUUCAACGCAGAGAAAAAUACUAGAAGGUAUUUUAAUUCAUUCCAAGAUUCCUUAAAAUUCUGUAAUUCUAUGUCCUCUUGAUUCUGUCUAUAGAAAAACUUGGAAUACAUAGGCAGCAGAGUUUGAAAAAAUAAUAGAACAAAAGAAACACCAAGAAAAACAGAGAAGAAAGUUUUAAAAAAUGAGGACAAGAUUAUAUAAAAGUCAUGGAAAAAGCAACAAGACUAAAAAAUGUAUUAUGGAAGUAAGCAGAAAUACUUGCCUAAAUGGAAAACCAAACUGUGAAGUCAAAUAAUUUGUCUCUAAGACUUGCCUAAACUUGCUUUGGUAAAACUUACAGUCCUAUGGCCAAAGCUAAGUCAGAUCUGCCCUAGAGCCUUUGAAGGUAAAAAUAAGAUACUGGUUACCACUGAAAUCGUCAAAUUUAUUAGGACUAACCACAUUCUAACAAUAAACUUAAAUGAGAGUUCAAGGUAUUUAAACUCUCAUUAAUUUAGAAGUUAAUCAAAUUAAUGAAUCUGAUUGAUCUGAUUCAGACCUAUACUUUGAUCCAAGGGCUGCACAGAUAUCUAUCAAUCUAUGCUGAGGAGCAAGAGAAAGGAUUUGGAAGGCAGGCAGGCUGAUGGUCAAACUGUAGGCCAGCUACUUUGUUAACUAUGGGAUCAUGAGGCAAUUAAUCAGCUCUAAUCCAUAGUUGUUUAUUUAACAGUAGGUUAUAGGAACACAGAUGUUAUGAUGGCUUUAUGAGAUGAUAAAUGCAUAGAACAUAUUAGGAUGUCUAGCCCAGAAUACAACACUCAACAGAUAUUAGUUUCUUCCAUCUAUAUUUUCUUAGUUAACAUAAUUUUUUAAAUCUAUGAAAUCUUACCUGACUGCAGAUUCAUCAGAAAUUCCAACAUCUAUUAAAGAAAAAGGUAAAAUGCAUUUUAAAUCAAUAAUAAAUGUACAGAAUAUUAAAAUCAUAAGAAUGCACAGUGAUGCAUGCCUCUAAUCCAAACUACUUGGGAGGAUGAGGCAGGAGGAUCACUUGAGGAGCCCAGAAGUUUGAGACCAGCUUGGGAAACAUAGUAAGACUCUACCUUCAUAAAAAAAUUGUGCACACUUGUGUGUAUGCUUUAGAUCCUGUUUUUUGUUGUUGUUGUUGUUUUGGUUUGGUUUGGUUUUUUAAAGCAUAAGACUGACGUUUUGUUACAAAGCA